GACGAACGCUGGCGGCGUGCCUAAUACAUGCAAGUUGAGCGCUGAAGGUUGGUACUUGUACCGACUGGAUGAGCAGCGAACGGGUGAGUAACGCGUGGGGAAUCUGCCUUUGAGCGGGGGACAACAUUUGGAAACGAAUGCUAAUACCGCAUAAAAACUUUAAACACAAGUUUUAAGUUUGAAAGAUGCAAUUGCAUCACUCAAAGAUGAUCCCGCGUUGUAUUAGCUAGUUGGUGAGGUAAAGGCUCACCAAGGCGAUGAUACAUAGCCGACCUGAGAGGGUGAUCGGCCACAUUGGGACUGAGACACGGCCCAAACGCCUACGGGAGGCAGCAGUAGGGAAUCUUCGGCAAUGGACGAAAGUCUGACCGAGCAACGCCGCGUGAGUGAAGAAGGUUUUCGGAUCGUAAAACUCGGUUGGUAGAGAAGAACGUUGGUGAGAGUGGAAAGCUCAUCAAGUGACGGUAACUACCCAGAAAGGGACGGCUAACUACGUG
rnacentral:rRNA from 1 species